UAAGUUGAUAAAAUGGAAUUGAUACAUAUCUUGUGCUCAUAGUGCUUUUUUCUUGUUUAACAAAGUAGUUUUUUAUGGGUUUUUUUUUUUUUUUUCGUAAUGGGGCUGGUCUGGGAAACCGUUCCCUAAUGAAAGCAGGGAUGAGGAAUCCUCGAUUUUUUAUUAUUACGGGUAUGAAGGCAAGGAUGGGGGAAAAAUGCUUAAUGGGGGUGGGGAAGAGAAUGACAUACCCACCCCCAAUUCAACCCAAUGUUGUUAUUUCCACCCCAUUCAUAUCUUCCCACCCAUCUUAUUUCUUCACUUCUCAUUUUAGGCCAUGUUUGGUUCAUGCAAAAUGAGACUUGGGAAUGAGAAAUCAAUUGCCUUCUCAUGUUUGGUAAGUCCGGAUAUGGGAAAUCAUUGUCUGGCCCAUGGAAAAAAAGGGGGAAAGUGAAGUCAUCCUCCC
rnacentral:lncRNA from 1 species